AUUGAACGCUGGCGGCAGGCCUAACACAUGCAAGUCGAACGGUAACAGGAAGCAGCUUGCUGCUUUGCUGACGAGUGGCGGACGGGUGAGGAAUGUCUGGGAAACUGCCCGAUGGAGGGUGAUAACUACUGGAAACGGUAGCUAAUACCGCAUAACGUCGCAAGACCAAAGAGGGGGACCUUAGGGCCUCUGGCCAUCGGAUGUGCCCAGAUGGGAUUAGCUAGGAGGUGGGGUAGCGGCUCACCUAGGCGACGAACCCUAGCUGGUCUGAGAGGAUGACCAGCCACCCUGGACCUGAGCCACGCUCCAGACUCCUGCGGGAGGACGCAGUCGGGAAUAUUGCGCAAUGGGCGCAAGCCUGAUGCAGCCAUGCCGCGUGUAUGAAGAAGGCCUUCGGGUUGUAAAGUACUUUCAGCGGGGAGGAAGCGAGUUCAGUUAAUACCUUUGCUCAUUGACGUUACCCGCAGAAGAAGCACCGGCUAACUCCGUG
rnacentral:rRNA from 1 species